rnacentral:rRNA from 1 species
GACUCUGGGAUAAGCCCGGGAAACUGGGUCUAAUACCGGAUAUUCACUUCCUUCCGCAUGGAGGGUGGUGGAAAGAUUUAUCGGUGGGGGAUGGACUCGCGGCCUAUCAGCUUGUUGGUGGGGUAAUGGCCUACCAAGGCGACGACGGGUAGCCGGCCUGAGAGGGUGACCGGCCACACUGGGACUGAGACACGGCCCAGACUCCUACGGGAGGCAGCAGUGGGGAAUAUUGCACAAUGGGCGAAAGCCUGAUGCAGCGACGCCGCGUGAGGGAUGACGGCCUUCGGGUUGUAAACCUCUUUCAGUAGGGAAGAAGCGAAAGUGACGGUACCUGCAGAAGAAGCGCCGGCUAACUACGUGCCAGCAGCCGCGGUAAUACGUAGGGCGCAAGCGUUAUCCGGAAUUAUUGGGCGUAAAGAGCUCGUAGGCGGUUUGUCGCGUCUGCCGUGAAAGUCCGGGGCUCAACCCCGGAUCUGCGGUGGGUACGGGCAGACUAGAGUGAUGUAGGGGAGACUGGAAUUCCUGGUGUAGCGGUGAAAUGCGCAGAUAUCAGGA